rnacentral:rRNA from 1 species
CUACGGGAUGCAGCAGUGGGGAAUAUUGCACAAUGGGGGAAACCCUGAUGCAGCAACGCCGCGUGGAGGAUGAAGCAUUUCGGUGUGCAAACUCCUUUUAUAUAGGAAGAUAAUGACGGUACUAUAUGAAUAAGCACCGGCUAACUCCGUGCCAGCAGCCGCGGUAAUACGGAGGGUGCAAGCGUUACUCGGAAUCACUGGGCGUAAAGCGCGCGCAGGCGGCCUUUGAAGUUGGAUGUGAAAGCCUAUGGCUUAACCAUAGAACUGCAUCCAAAACUAUCAGGCUAGAGUCUGGGAGGGGAAGAUGGAAUUAGUUGUGUAGGGGUAAAAUCCGUAGAGAUAACUAGGAUUACCAAAAGCGAAGGCGACCUUCUGGAACAGUACUGACGCUGAGGCGCGAAAGCGUGGGGAGCAAACAGGAUUAGAUACCCUCGUAGUC